UCAAGCGAACAAGUGCAUGUGGUGGAUGCCUUGGCGAUCACAGGCGAUGAAGGACGCGGUAGCCUGCGAAAAGCGGUGGGGAGCUGGCAAACGAGCUUUGAUCCACCGAUAUCCGAAUGGGGAAACCCGGCCCGUAUGGGUCAUCCGUAGCUGAAUACAUAGGCUACGUGAAGCGAACGCGGUGAACUGAAACAUCUAAGUAACCGCAGGAAAAGAAAUCAACCGAGAUUCCCAGAGUAGUGGCGAGCGAAAUGGGACCAGCCUGUACUCUUUAUUUGUAGUGUUAGCCGAACGCUCUGGAAAGUGCGGCCAUAGCAGGUGAUAGCCCUGUAGGCGAAAACAUUAUGAAAGAACUGGGUGUACGACAAGUAGGGCGGGACACGUGAAAUCCUGUCUGAAGAUGGGGGGACCAUCCUCCAAGGCUAAAUACUCGUGAUCGACCGAUAGUGAACCAGUACCGUGAGGGAAAGGCGAAAAGAACCCCGGGAGGGGAGUGAAACAGAUCCUGAAACCGCAUGCAUACAAACAGUCGGAGCCUCGCAAGGGGUGACGGCGUACCUUUUGUAUAAUGGGUCAGCGACUUACAUUCAGUGGCAAGCUUAACCGAUUAGGGCAGGCGUAGCGAAAGCGAGUCCGAACAGGGCGUUCAGUCGCUGGGUGUAGACCCGAAACCAGGUGAUCUAUCCAUGGCCAGGAUGAAGGUGCGGUAACACGUACUGGAGGUCCGAACCCACUAACGUUGAAAAGUUAGGGGAUGAGCUGUGGAUAGGGGUGAAAGGCUAAACAAACCUGGAAAUAGCUGGUUCUCUCCGAAAACUAUUUAGGUAGUGCCUCGUGUAUCACCUUCGGGGGUAGAGCACUGUCAUGGUUGUGGGGUCCAUUGCGGAUUACUACGCCAUAGCAAACUCCGAAUACCGAAGAGUGCAAUCACGGGAGACAGACAUCGGGUGCUAACGUCCGGUGUCAAGAGGGAAACAACCCAGACCGCCAGCUAAGGUCCCCAAAUAUGGCUAAGUGGGAAACGAAGUGGGAAGGCUAAAACAGUCAGGAGGUUGGCUUAGAAGCAGCCAUCCUUUAAAGAAAGCGUAAUAGCUCACUGAUCGAGUCGUCCUGCGCGGAAGAUGUAACGGGGCUAAGCCAUAUACCGAAGCUGCGGAUGCACAGUAAUGUGCAUGGUAGGAGAGCGUUCCGUAAGCCUGCGAAGGUGCACUGGAAAGUGUGCUGGAGGUAUCGGAAGUGCGAAUGCUGACAUGAGUAGCGAUAAAGGGGGUGAAAGGCCCCCUCGCCGUAAGCCCAAGGUUUCCUACGCAACGUUCAUCGGCGUAGGGUGAGUCGGCCCCUAAGGCGAGGCAGAAAUGCGUAGCUGAUGGGAAGCAGGUUAAUAUUCCUGCACCAUUGUUAAAUGCGAUGGGGGGACGGAUCGCGGAAGGUUGUCCGGGUGUUGGAAGUCCCGGUCCUUGCAUUGGAGAAGGCGCUCAGGCAAAUCCGGGCGCGGAAUUCAAGGGUGCGAGGCCAGUCGCUUAGGCGACGAAGCAAUCGGAAGUGGUUCCAAGAAAAGCCUCUAAGCUUCAGUUUAACAGGACCGUACCGCAAACCGACACAGGUGGGCGAGAUGAGUAUUCUAAGGCGCUUGAGAGAACUCGGGAGAAGGAACUCGGCAAAUUGGUACCGUAACUUCGGGAUAAGGUACGCCCCUGUAGCCUGACUGGCCUGCGCCAGGAGGGUGAAGGGGUUGCAAUAAACUGGUGGCUGCGACUGUUUAAUAAAAACACAGCACUCUGCAAACACGAAAGUGGACGUAUAGGGUGUGACGCCUGCCCGGUGCCGGAAGAUUAAAUGAUGGGGUGCAAGCUCUUGAUUGAAGUCCCGGUAAACGGCGGCCGUAACUAUAACGGUCCUAAGGUAGCGAAAUUCCUUGUCGGGUAAGUUCCGACCUGCACGAAUGGCGUAACGAUGGCCACACUGUCUCCUCCCGAGACUCAGCGAAGUUGAAGUGUUUGUGAUGAUGCAAUCUCCCCGCGGCUAGACGGAAAGACCCCAUGAACCUUUACUGUAGCUUUGCAUUGGACUUUGAACCGAUCUGUGUAGGAUAGGUGGGAGGCUAUGAAGCGUGGACGCCAGUCUGCGUGGAGCCGUCCUUGAAAUACCACCCUGGUUUGUUUGAGGUUCUAACCUUGGCCCGUGAUCCGGGUCGGGGACAGUGCAUGGUAGGCAGUUUGACUGGGGCGGUCUCCUCCCAAAGUGUAACGGAGGAGUACGAAGGUACGCUAGGUACGGUCGGAAAUCGUGCUGAUAGUGCAAUGGCAUAAGCGUGCUUAACUGCGAGACCGACAAGUCGAGCAGGUGCGAAAGCAGGUCAUAGUGAUCCGGUGGUUCUGUAUGGAAGGGCCAUCGCUCAACGGAUAAAAGGUACUCUGGGGAUAACAGGCUGAUACCGCCCAAGAGUUCAUAUCGACGGCGGUGUUUGGCACCUCGAUGUCGGCUCAUCUCAUCCUGGGGCUGUAGCCGGUCCCAAGGGUAUGGCUGUUCGCCAUUUAAAGAGGUACGUGAGCUGGGUUUAAAACGUCGUGAGACAGUUUGGUCCCUAUCUGCCGUGGGCGCUGGAUAUUUGAAGGGGGCUGCUCCUAGUACGAGAGGACCGGAGUGGACGAACCUCUGGUGUACCGGUUGUCACGCCAGUGGCAUCGCCGGGUAGCUAUGUUCGGAAGAGAUAACCGCUGAAAGCAUCUAAGCGGGAAACUCGCCUUAAGAUGAGAUAUCCCCGGGGCUUCGAGCCCCUUGAAGGGUCGUUCAAGACCAGGACGUUGAUAGGUCAGGUGUGGAAGCGCAGUAAUGCGUUAAGCUAACUGAUACUAAUUGCCCGUAAGGCUUGAUCC
rnacentral:rRNA from 1 species